AUUGAACGCUGGCGGCAUGCCUUACACACGCAAGUCGAACGGUGACAGGUCUUCGGAUGCUGACGAGUGGCAAACGGGUGAGUAAUACAUCGGAACGUGCCCGAUCGUGGGGGAUAACGAAGCGAAAGCUUUGCUAAUACCGCAUAAGAUCUACGGAUGAAAGCAGGGGACCGCAAGGCCUUGCGCGAACGGAGCGGCCGAUGGCAGAUUAGGUAGUUGGUGGGAUAAAAGCUUACCAAGCCGACGAUCUGUAGCUGGUCUGAGAGGACGACCAGCCACACUGGGACUGAGACACGGCCCAGACUCCUACGGGAGGCAGCAGUGGGGAAUUUUGGACAAUGGGCGAAAGCCUGAUCCAGCCAUGCCGCGUGCAGAAUGAAGGCCUUCGGGUUGUAAACUGCUUUUGUACGGAACGAAAAGACUCUGGUUAAUACCUGGGGUCCAUGACGGUACCGUAAGAAUAAGCACCGGCUAACUACGUGCCAGCCGCCGCCGUAAAAC
rnacentral:rRNA from 1 species